rfam:Ictidomys tridecemlineatus contig029563, whole genome shotgun sequence.
UGGGUUGUAGCUCAGUGGUAGAGUACUUACCUAGCACGUGUGAGGCACUGGGUUCAAUCCUUAGCACCACAU